rnacentral:ncRNA from 2 species
CAGACAAGCUAGGGGUGUCCGAAUUCUCGGGCUGAGAUCAUACCCUGAGAACCUGACCUGGGUCAUACCAGCGGAGGGAAGCGUUGAUUGAGGUUC